AAUGCCCAACAUUAUGUCCGCAUUCCAGCCUCAAGAAAGAGGAAAGAAGAAAGGGAGAGCAUGCAACUUUCUUUUAAGGAUGUGACCUAGAAGUGACAUACAUCACUUAGGCUCACAUGCCAUUGGUGGGAACUUAGUCAUAUGGCCACAACUAGUUGCAAGUGAGGCUGGGAUAUGUCAUCUCUAGAUGGACAAUCAUGUACCUCCCAAAAACUUGGGGAUUACUAUUACCAAAAGGAAGAAAGAAAAUAUGAAUGGGUGGGAUUGGCAGUCUCUCAUCAGUAGGAAAGCAUCAUGACUGAUGCUGAGAAACUCUUUGCCCAAGUCUUUAUGGCCUAUAUAUGUAACUCCAUAUUACUGACAGUGUGCAUCACAGGGUGUGGUAGGUGGCUUCUAAAAUGGCCUCAAAUGAUUCCUGUCUCCUGGUACUCAUGCCCUUGUGUAAUCCCUUUUUCUUGAAUGACUUCCUUCAAGUUAAUAGACUGUUGAUAGGCUGCCACUUCUAUGAUUAGAUUAUUAAAGAUGUACCUCCAUUUUCCUAGCUGACUUUAUUGCCUUUGCAGCUUGCAAGCUUUGAUGAAGCAGCCAUGUUGGGGAGGCCCAUAUAGCAAGAAACCAAAGUCAGUCUCCAGGCAAUAGCCAACAAAGAACUGAGGUCCUCAGUCCAAUAGCCCACAAAGAACUGAAUCCUACCAAUAACCACUUGAGUUUGGAAAUGGAUCCCUUACCAAUCGAGCCUUCAGAUUAGACCCCAGCCUUGGCUGACACCUUCACUGUAGCCUUUUAUGUAAGAUCCUGAAGCAGAUGACGCAACUAAACUGUGCCUGGACUUCUGAUGCACAGAACCCGUGAGAUAAUAAAUACUGCCAGCUCCGUGACAGCAAGAACCUUGUAUGACUUUUUCAUGAUGGAUGUUCAUCUGUGCCAUCUGUAAAUAUUGAAUAAAUAUUUGUGGAAUACAUGAAUCUAAAAGUGAAUGGAAUGAUAAAGAGGGAAAGGGUCAUGACAUCUACUACAGCAUUUGGCACAGACCCAGGUUUCCCUGGUACUGGUAAUUCCCAGCAGCUUUCUACAAUUCCAAAGGUCAGAAAUAAACUGCCAAAAAAUUUUUACUAAAUCAUGUUCUGGUCUGGGAUACAGCCCUGAAAUGCACUUUGAGCAAGAAAGACUUUGUAGAGGAGAAAAAAGGUGGACCAAUGAGGAUUGGGCUAGAACCAGAGGAAAGUGAACAUUCUUGGUUUAGAUAAAUAUCCACAACCUUCUAAGGUUUUCAUGUGUACUACAGAGAAGCUCCAGGCUCCUACAUUUCCCUGUGGGUAGUUUUAAAAAGCUACUGUAGCAAAACAGAGGCUGGUGGUGACUACGCUUAUCUUUUAGAAGAGCCAUCAU
rnacentral:lncRNA from 1 species